GGCGGACGGGUGAGUAACACGUGAGAAUUUGCCUUUAGGAGGGGGACAACAAUUGGAAACAGCUGCUAAUACCCCAUAUGCUUUCGAGUGAAAUGGAUUUAUAUUUAUCCGCCUAUAGAGAAGCUCGCGGCUGAUUAGCUUGUUGGUAAGGUAAGAGCUUACCAAGGCGACGAUCAGUAUCUGGUUUGAGAGGACGAUCAGACACACUGGAACUGAGACACGGUCCAGACUCCUACGGGAGGCAGCAGUGGGGAAUUUUCCGCAAUGGGCGAAAGCCUGACGGAGCAAUACCGCGUGAGGGAAGACUGCCUAUGGGUUGUAAACCUCUUUUUUCAGGGAGGAAUCAAUGACGUGUACCUGAAGAAUAAGCAUCGGCUAACUCCGUGCCAGCAGCCGCGGUAAGACGGAGGAUGCAAGUGUUAUCCGGAAUCACUGGGCGUAAAGCGUCUGUAGGUGGUUUAAUAAGUCAACUGUUAAAUCUUGAGGCUCAACUUCAAAAUCGCAGUCGAAACUAUUAGACUAGAGUAUAGUAGAGGUAAAGGGAAUUUC
rnacentral:rRNA from 1 species